rnacentral:rRNA from 1 species
UGGGGAAUAUUGCACAAUGGGCGCAAGCCUGAUGCAGCCAUGCCGCGUGUAUGAAGAAGGCCUUCGGGUUGUAAAGUACUUUCAGUCGGGAGGAAGGUGUCAAGGUUAAUAACCUUGGCAAUUGACGUUACCGACAGAAGAAGCACCGGCUAACUCCGUGCCAGCAGCCGCGGUAAUACGGAGGGUGCAAGCGUUAAUCGGAAUUACUGGGCGUAAAGCGAACGCAGGCGGUUGAUUGAGUCAGAUGUGAAAUCCCCGGGCUUAACCCGGGAAUUGCAUCUGAUACUGGUCAGCUAGAGUCUUGUAGAGGGGGGUAGAAUUCCAUGUGUAGCGGUGAAAUGCGUAGAGAUGUGGAGGAAUACCGGUGGCGAAGGCGGCCCCCUGGACAAAGACUGACGCUCAGGUGCGAAAGCGUGGGGAGCAAACAGG